UACAGAGGUCCCAAGCGUUGUUCGGAUUCAUUGGGCGUAAAGGGCGCGUAGGCGGCCUACUAAGUCAGACGUGAAAUCCCCCGGCUUAACCUGGGAACUGCGUCUGAUACUGGAAGGCUUGAGGAUGGGAGAGGGAUGUAGAAUUCCAGGUGUAGCGGUGAAAUGCGUAGAUAUCUGGAGGAAUACCGGUGGCGAAGGCGGCAUCCUGGACCAUUACUGACGCUGAGGCGCGAAAGCUAGGGGAGCAAACGGG
rnacentral:rRNA from 1 species